GAGUUGAGGAGGCUGCAUCGACUCUCCCAAACAAGGCGCACGGUGGAGGAAACCCCUGUUUACAGAUGUCACGCAACCGCUUUUGUUUCAACCUAGCCAUAAAAAUUAGGUUGGAUGUCAGAUGGGUGGAACGGCCACAGCUGUUGUCAAUGACAAUCAGCCCUUUAAAAGCAGUGGACGCCGCCACCUCAUCGCCCGAUCAACGUGCCUGUUUUCUAAGUCCUGUUUUUUGCGCGCCCCCUGUCGGAGUUCACGUCUGCCUCCUUCCUGAGCUUCAUCGCCUCACGCCCACUCAACUACCCCGAUCAGAAAGCUCCGCUUCUUUUGU